CAAAAGGCACUAUAUUCCCUAACAAAUCCAACUCUUCUUCAGAAAACCAUAAGGCAUUAUGGUAGACAGGGACAAAAUAGCUCACUGUCAUUUUCUAUGAAACUAAACUGAUGAUUCAUCAACACAGGCCAUUGUUAGAAAGAUCAUUGUUCCUAGGUCUUUACAAACAUAUCGCUAGGCUAAAAGUGAUGUGAAAUCGGUGCCAUCUUGCUUACCAAAAGAUAUGACUGAAAGGCGCCACAAGAACGCUCCCCCAGCAGGGCAUAGUGGUUCAUGCCUAUAAUCCCAGCACUUUGAGAGAUGGAGGAAGGAGGAUCUCUUGAGGCCAGAAGUUCGAGACCAGCCUGGGCAACAGAGCAAGACUCCAUCUCAACACAAGCUUUUUUUUUUUUUUUUUUUUAAAUUAGCUAGGUGCUCGCCUGUAAUCCUACCUACUCAGGAGGCUGAGGCAGGAGGAUUAUUUAAGCCCAGGAGCUUGAGGCUAUAGUGAGCCAUAAAUGCAUGGCACUGAACUCCAGCCUGGGCAACAGGGCAAGUCCCUUCAAGAAAAACAAUUGCCACCUCAAACUGACAAACUGAAGAAGACAGACAGAUAACAAUUAUUGUGGUGCCAUGGCCAUAUAGACAAACCAGUCGAAAGCUGCUUAACUAAAUCUUUAAGACUCAAGAAAAUAGAAGUGGUAGAAGACUCUUCAGCGACUUUCAAAAUGGAAGAAUCUGAAUUAAGUUUCCAUUCUAAGACACCCUUUUCAUUUCAAUCUCCCUCCUUCCAAGUCUCCAGAUUCCUUGCUAUAGAUUGAAGACAAAAGGGAACUCAAGACAUGACACUAAUGGGCC